CGCUACAACUCAUCAACACAACAACAACAAAACGCAUGAAUUACAAAGCAGACACUGAGGGAUGCGCAAGCAACUAUAGACUGUUGGUAGAACGAGUUAACAAAGUCCAAUAAGAAAAACUACAAAACAGUAGCAAAGCAGACUACGACUGUUGAACACGGUCGCAUAAAGUUUUGGUUUGUGUUUUGUUUCUCAUUUAAAUAUAUCGAAUCUUGAAAAUGAAUUUCAUUGAAAUGCGAAAUAUCGAUACAUAUAUAAUAAAAUGAAGAGAAAACCCAGAAAGACCUCGAGCUUUAAUUAAAAACAACAAUAGUGAAUAAAUAAAGUCGAGUGAAACUCCUGAACAUGUGUCUGAAUUCAAAUAUUUUAUUUAGCAAAACAAAAACACACACAUUUUGAUCUCUUACAUAGAGAAAUUGUAUAAAAAUAUUUUUUUUAGUAAAUGUAUAUGCAAAAUAUAUUUAAAUUUAUAGUUUUAAUUUAUUCUAUAGUUUUUUUUUUAAUAUGAGGUAAUAAUUUUUUGUAUAUAACCUAAAACAAUCCAGCCCAAACAAUGCAAGUAAAUUAAUGUAUUGCCCAAAUAUUUAAAAUAUAUAAACAGCCUAUACAUAAUAAGAAUAUUUGAAAUUUAUUUAAGUCUCUUUUUGAACAAAAGGCUGGGUUUCCUUUAUUGUUUUGAAUAUCUUAAAAAAAAACUAUAUAUAGAAUUAAUACCCACCAUUGGAAACAAAGAAACAAAAUGAGAAAUUUAUGUAUGAUUUAAACGCUUUUCUUUGCUAGUUUGCUUGACAAUGUUAGUCAAAAGAUUCAAUAAUGAAUCAACGUUUUUUUUUUAAUAUUUUUAAUAGUAUUUUAAAAUAUUUUUCGCUUUUAGUUAAAACACACAUUUUUUAUGAUUCCACAAAAAUCCAAUAAAUACAUAUACAUAUUUAUAAAAAAAAAAACUAUAAAUUUGUAUUUUAUUUUGCUUUUUAUGUUUUUUAGUUAGGUGCCUUGCCUUUACAAAAAAAAAUACAUUAUCAUGUUCUGCCAGUGCUUUUACUUACAACAUUUUGUAAGUGCUAAUAUCCCUGCCCCAUGAACUACUCAUACAAAAAAAAACAAUUGCAUUCAGGAUAGCGUCUCUUACAUUAUUAAGGGAAAUCAUUUUCGACUAAUGAAACUUAAAAACAAAAACGCCGUUAUCCAGACUCCUACUAAAGAACUUACAAUGCAUACCAACAAACAUAUGUAUGUAACAUCAAACCGAUGAGGAGCAAACAAUAUCAACACUGCCAAAGGGAAAAAAGCCUCAAAAUUGAUUGUUAAAAAACACACACACACACAUACAUACAUGCACACAAUUUCGACUGAGUAUUCUUAAAGAGAAUUGCAAAAAGUUACACAGAAAUGUAAAUGUACGUACAUAAAUACUCUAUAAAUAAAUAUGCAUAUUAGAGAAACAACAUACUAAAAUAGAGAGCAUAAACUAAACAGAAAACCGAAAAAAAACAACAACAACCAUUUAAUUAUACAUAUAUGUUUGUGUAGUAGCAAUAAUCAUCAUAAUAGGCAUUAGAAGACAAAACCAAACUCAAAGGAAAGCCAGAGAUUGUAAAGGACAAAUCCAAUCGAUAUUUUACUUAAGGAACUCUUAACAACAACAACAACAAAAAGUGAUGAUUGGUAAAACAAGAUGCGCACACACCAAAACCAAAAUAGGAGCCCAAGGCCUCCUGCCUUUGUUUUCAUUCAAUCAGUCCUUCGAAUAAACAAAAAGCCAGCAUACAAUCGAUUCAAGCAAUUUUUCCACUUAUAUAAAACCAGUAUAGUAAUUGCAAUUUCGUAUUACUUUUAUAUAUACAUACAUAUAUAUAAAAGGAAAAUUAAAUGUACAAUUACAAUUACAAUUUUUGAUCGAUGAAUGUUACAAAACCAAAAAAAUAUAUAUAAAAAUUAUAAUUUUAGCUAUACUAUGCAAAAAAAGAACCAUACGAAAUCAAAACGUUUUCUACGGAAUAUUUCCGUUUGCUUGAUUUUCCGUUUUCUCCUUUUCCCAAACGACUAAAAAAUAAUUCCAUCAUAUUGUAAUGCACAAGUAAACCACUUUUUAAGUAUAGAAUUACAAACUAACUACCAACUAGCCCCUUACCAAGCCCAAACCUAAUACCAAUAUGAACCAAGUUUAUAUUGAAACAAAAAGGACAUUUUAUAAGAGUUAUAAUAAAAAGAAAAGAAAAUUCUCAGAACUACCUCAACAAAUAAAUUUUGCAACAACACGACAGCAAACAAGCAAAUAAAUAAAUAAAAAAAUAUCCAAUCCAAGUUAAGAAGCCGAAAUCAAGAAUUCAAAAAAAAACUAAAAACAACACGGGAAUAUAACAUUUUUACUAGAACUUAUUCAUAGCGAACAAAGGCAAAUAAACCAGACAACAAAAAGAAAAAUUCAUUCAUAUUAUCCACUUCCUUUGUACCCCUUCCUACCACUCCUGCCCAAGAUCAAUCCCUUAAGACCUUCAUUCAAUAUUUCAUAAAUUAAAAACAAAAAAAAACCAACGUCUGUAGAAUGUGUAUUAAUUUUAGCAAUAAAUGUAUUUAUUAAUAAUAAUAAUAACAUAACGUAACAUAUUCUUAUAAAAUUAUAUAAAAAAAAACCAACAACAUUAAUUUAAUAAUAAAUAAAUAUGUGUAUGUAGUAAUCAUCAUCAUCCCACUCCACCAUCAAAACCAACCACAUCAAACCCCCAUUAAUAAACAAUAUUUA